CUUACCGGGGCGACAGCAGGAUGACGGCCAGGUUUAAAGGGCCUUGCCCGACGCGCUGAGAGGAGGUGCACGGCCGUCGCCAGCUCGUGCCGUGAGGUGUCCGGUUAAGUCCGGCAACGAGCGAGACCCCGCCCCUAGUUGCUACCCGGUCCUUCGGGCCGGGGCACACUAGGGGGGACUGCCGGCGUCUAAGCCGGAGGAAGGUGGGGGCCACGGCAGGUCAGCAUAGGGGCCUAUCCCGAGGGAGGGCCCCGCUGAAGCCCGAAACCCCCGGGCUGCACGCGGGCUACAAUGGCCGGGACAGCGGGAUCCGACCCCGAAAGGGGGAGGCAAUCCCUUAAACCCGGCCUCAGUUGGGAUCGAGGGCUGUAACUCGCCCUCGUGAACGCGGAAUCCCUAGUAACCGCGCGUCAUCAUCGCGCGGUCGAAUACCGUCCCUGCUCCUU
rnacentral:rRNA from 1 species